CGGGUGGUAAUGCCGGAUGCUCCAUCACACCGCAUGGUGUGUUGGGAAAGCCUUUGCGGCAUGGGAUGGGGUCGCGUCCUAUCAGCUUGAUGGCGGGGUAACGGCCCACCAUGGCUUCGACGGGUAGCCGGCCUGAGAGGGCGACCGGCCACAUUGGGACUGAGAUACGGCCCAGACUCCUACGGGAGGCAGCAGUGGGGAAUAUUGCACAAUGGGCGCAAGCCUGAUGCAGCGACGCCGCGUGAGGGAUGGAGGCCUUCGGGUUGUAAACCUCUUUUGUUAGGGAGCAAGGCACUUUGUGUUGAGUGUACCUUUCGAAUAAGCACCGGCUAACUACGUGCCAGCAGCCGCGGUAAUACGUAGGGUGCAAGCGUUAUCCGGAAUUAUUGGGCGUAAAGGGCUCGUAGGCGGUUCGUCGCGUCCGGUGUGAAAGUCCAUCGCUUAACGGUGGAUCCGCGCCGGGUACGGGCGGGCUUGAGUGCGGUAGGGGAGACUGGAAUUCCCGGUGUAACGGUGGAAUGUGUAGAUA
rnacentral:rRNA from 1 species